rnacentral:lncRNA from 1 species
CAAAUCAGGCAAUAAAGUUACAGCUUGUGAAUGAAGAGUAGAAAAAAAUUGGAAAUGAAGGUUCUAGAAGCCGGAUCCAUAAAAAACAAAGAAGCUUGAAAUCGGAGAAACAGAUGCAGAAAAACACGCAGUUGUUGUAAGAAUGUAAUAAAAAGUUACGGAGAUGAAGGAGGCGUUGAAAACACCGGCGAAAACCUGAAGAGGUUUCGCCAGCAAGACCAAAACCACCACCAGCACAACCGUGAUAUGAUGAUGAACAAUUUGGGAAUGGUGUGGCAUGAAUUGGAUCCAGCUUUUUUUAUGUUCG